UACGUAGGGUGCAAGCGUUGUCCGGAAUUAUUGGGCGUAAAGAGCUCGUAGGCGGUCUGUCACGUCGGCUGUGAAAUCCCGAGGCUCAACCUCGGGUCUGCAGUCGAUACGGGCAAACUAGAGUAUUGCAGGGGAGACUGGAAUUCCUGGUGUAGCGGUGAAAUGCGCAGAUAUCAGGAGGAACACCGGUGGCGAAGGCGGGUCUCUGGGCCGAUACUGACGCUGAGGAGCGAAAGCAUGGGUAGCGAACAGG
rnacentral:rRNA from 1 species